GAUGAACGCUGGCGGCGUGCCUAAUACAUGCAAGUCGAGCGAACAGACGAGGAGCUUGCUCCUCUUACGUUAGCGGCGGACGGGUGAGUAACACGUGGAUAACCUACCUAUAAGACUGGGAUAACUUCGGGAAACCUGAGCUAAUACCGGAUAAUAUAUUGAACCGCAUGGUUCAAUAGUGAAAGACGGUUUUGCUGUCACUUAUAGAUGGAUCCUCGCCGCAUUAGCUAGUUGGUAAGGUAACGGCUUACCAAGGCGACGAUGCGUAGCCGACCUGAGAGGGUGAUCGGCCACACUGGAACUGAGACACGGUCCAGACUCCUACGGGAGGCAGCAGUAGGGAAUCUUCCGCAAUGGGCGAAAGCCUGACGGAGCAACGCCGCGUGAGUGAUGAAGGUCUUCGGAUCGUAAAACUCUGUUAUUAGGGAAGAACAAAUGUGUAAGUAACUAUGCACGUCUUGACGGUACCUAAUCAGAAAGCCACGGCUAACUACGUG
rnacentral:rRNA from 1 species